GCAGAAUUCAGUGAAUCAUCGAAUCUUUGAACGCACCUUGCGCUCCUUGGUAUUCCGAGGAGCAUGCCUGUUUGAGUGUCA
rnacentral:rRNA from 6 species